CCCAAGAAAAGCUUCUAAACGUUGAUUCUUAAGUGCCUGUACCGCAAUCCGACACAGGUAGAUGGGUAGAAUAUACCAAGGCGAACGGGAGAACCUUCGUUAAGGAACUAGGCAAUUUAGCCUCGUAACUUCGGGAUAAGAGGUGUCUUCUGGCGUAAGUGAAUAAUGAGCGCUGGAAGAUCGCAGUGAAAUGGUUCUAGGGACUGGUUAACAAAACCACAGGUCUCUGCAAAGCCGUAAGGCGAUGUAUAGGGGCUGACACCUGCCCAGUGCCGGAAGGUUAAAGGGAGAGGUUAGUUCCCCUUCGGGGGAACGAAGCUUUGAACUGAAGCCCCGGUGAACGGCGGCCGUAACUAUAACGGUCCUAAGGUAGCGAAAUUCCUUGUCGGGUAAGUUCCGACCCGCACGAAAGGUGUAACAACUAGAACAGUGUCUCGACGAAGGACCCGGCGAAAUUGAAAUGGCUGUGAAGAUGCGGCCUACCCGCAGUAGGACAAAAAGACCCCGUGGAGCUUUACUGCAACUUGGCAUUGAGUUUGGAUUUCAUUUGUGUAGGAUAGGUGGGAGGCUAUGAAACUAGGGCGCCAGCCUUGGUGGAGCUGCCGGUGAAAUACCACCCUGAUGAACUCUAGACCCUAACCUUUAUCCGUAAUCCGGAUAAGGGACCGUGCCAGGUGGGCAGUUUGACUGGGGCGGUCGCCUCCUAAAGAGUAACGGAGGCGCCCAAAGGUUCCCUCAGGCUGAAUGGAAACCAGCCAGAGAGUGUAAAGGCAUAAGGGAGCUUAACUGCAAGGCCAACGCGCCGAGCAGAGACGAAAGUCGGGCUUAGUGAUCCCACGGUUCCGUGUGGAAGGGCCGUGGCUCAUCGGAUAAAAGCUACCCCGGGGAUAACAGGCUAGUCAGGUCCAAGAGUCUAUAUCGACGACCUGGCUCGGCACCUCGAUGUCGGCUCAUCGCAUCCUGGGGCUGGAUAAGGUCCCAAGGGUCGGGCUGUUCGCCCGUUAAAGCGGUACGCGAGCUGGGUUCAGACCGUCGUGAGACAGGUCGGUCUCUAUCCACUGUGGGCGUAAGAGAUUUGAGAGGAGCUGCUCCUAGUACGAGAGGACCGGAGUGGACAGACCUCUGGUGUGCCAGCUGUCGUGCCAACGGCAUUGCUGGGUAGCUACGUCUGGCAGAGAUAACCGCUGAAAGCAUCUAAGCUGGAAACUUGCCUCAAGAUUAGAUCUCUAUAAUCCCGUAAAGGGAGUAAGAUCGCAGGUAGACUACCUGCUAGAUAGGCAGUAUGUGUAAGCGCAGUAAUGCGUUGAGCUAAACUGUACUAAUGAUCGAGAGCUUCCAA
rnacentral:rRNA from 1 species